GUAGACCUGGGGGGCGCAGCCUGUACAGCCAUGCCGCGUGCAGGAAGAAUGCCCUAUGGGUUGUAAACUGCUUUUAUUUGGGAAUAAACCUCUUUACGUGUAGAGAGCUGAAGGUACCAAAUGAAUAAGCACCGGCUAACUCCGUGCCAGCAGCCGCGGUAAUACGGAGGGUGCAAGCGUUAUCCGGAAUCAUUGGGUUUAAAGGGUCCGCAGGCGGGCUUAUAAGUCAGUGGUGAAAGCCUACAGCUUAACUGUAGAACUGCCAUUGAUACUGUAAGUCUUGAAUUCGGUCGAAGUGGGCGGAAUGUGUAGUGUAGCGGUGAAAUGCUUAGAUAUUACACAGAACACCGAUAGCGAAGGCAGCUCACUAGGCCUGGAUUGACGCUCAGGGACGAAAGCGUGGGGAUCAAACAGGAUUAGAUACCCUGGUAGUCCACGCCGUAAACUAUGAUUACUCGUUUUCGGCGAUAUACUGUCGGAGACUAAGCGAAAGUGAUAAGUAAUCCACCUGGGGAGUACGAUCGCAAGGUUGAAACUCAAAGGAAUUGACGGGGGCCCGCACAAGCGGUGGA
rnacentral:rRNA from 1 species